rnacentral:sRNA from 1 species
CGCCAGCGAGAGAGCGUUGCCGCAGGCAACGACCCGAAGGGCGAAGCGCGCAGCGCUGAGUAAUCCUUCCCCCACCACCA